AUGUCCUUCGUCGACAUCCUCAAGGCGGGCAAUGUCCUCCCUGGCAUCAAGGUGGACAAGGGUACCAUCGAGCUCGCUCGAACCAACGGUGAGACCACCACCCAGGGCUUUGAUGACCUUGCAUUGGCAAGCACUGCGCCAAGUACUACGAGGCUGGUGCCCGCUUCGCCAAGUGGCGUGCAGUCCUCAAGAUCGGCGCCACUGAGCCAUCGCAGCUCUCCAUCGACCAGAACGCUCAGGGUCUGGCCCAUUGUUGAGCCUGAGAUCCUUGUGACCGAGAUCGUCCUUGCUGCCUGCUACAAGGCCCUCAAUGACCAGCAUGUCCUCCUCGAGGGCACCCUCCUGAAGCCCAACAUGGUCACCCCUGGAUCCGACGCCAAGAAAGUGGCCCCUGAGGUCAUUGCUGAGUACACCGUCCGCACCCUCCAGAGGACUGUCCCUGCUGCCGUCCCUGCCAUUGUCUUCCUCUCUGGUGGACAGAGUGUGGAGGAGGCGACCCUGAACCUGAAUGCCAUGAACAAGCUCCAGACCAAGAAGCCCUGGAACCUGUCCUUCUCCUUCGGGCGUGCCCUCCAGCAGAGCACCCUGAAGACCUGGUCCGGUAAGGCAGAGAACGAGGAGAAGGCCAGGGCGGCGUUCCUGGUGAGGUGCAAGGCCAACUCCGAGGCCACCCUCGGCACCUACAAGGGCGUCGCCACCCUCGGCGAGGGCGCCUCGGAGAGCCUCCAUGUCACGGACUAUAGAAGCAUGGUGGGACCAGUCUGA
rnacentral:rRNA from 1 species